rnacentral:rRNA from 1 species
AAGCACUUUAUUUGAUUUCCUUCGGGACUGAUUAUUUUGUGACUGAGUGGCGGACGGGUGAGUAACGCGUGGGUAACCUGCCUUGUACAGGGGGAUAACAGUUGGAAACGGCUGCUAAUACCGCAUAAGCCCACGACCCGGCAUCGGGUAGAGGGAAAAGGAGCAAUCCGCUUUGAGAUGGCCUCGCGUCCGAUUAGCUAGUUGGUGAGGUAACGGCCCACCAAGGCGACGAUCGGUAGCCGGACUGAGAGGUUGAACGGCCACAUUGGGACUGAGACACGGCCCAGACUCC